GGCAUGGUUGGUAGCGUGGGAAGAUGGAGAAAGAUUACGGAAGGGCAAAUUAUGUCAGAUUCAAAGGCACUUGAAUUGAAAAAGGGCAAAGAGAUGACUGUGUCAAAGACCAAAGUGACAUUAUUUUUUAGUUAGAAUUAGUAAAACGAUGUCGUAAUGAGAUACAAGUAAAAAGGGUCACGGUGAUGUCAUCAAAAUGACGUCGUAUUGGAUGAAAAUAUGAACACUGUAUAGACGUUCACUCUUAUAAGUUUGUAUUGUAUAGAAUACGAAUUCGAAAAAGAAUGGACACCCAAUAUAUGCACAAUUAAACAAGUCCUUCCAAUUCAAGAUGGGGAAAGGUCAUUUACAGAAAAUAUAUGCUCUCCCCAAGGCCAUCAAAAGCACACCUGCAUGAAGUGAUUUUUAAGUGAAACCAGCAUGACCUCAAAGGUAAAGGAAGGAGAGGGGGGAAAAACACAAAAUUUGCAACCAAGUUGUAAUUUGGUAAUGAAUGAGAUUAUCACAAUGGAUAAUCAAUAUCAGUAUGCUCAAACAUAGGAAGAGGCAAAAUAUGUUACCAGUGACCCCAUAUUGAAAGACAUACAUGCAGCGAGGAGGCUCCACUGUGUUACAGGAUGUGUAUAAAAUCCAAAUUAAAAUCCAUAAUAUUAUGCACCAACAUAUUUACAGGAAAUGCAAACGUAAUUGCAAGUUAACCAUUAAAUUGGCUCAACUUAAUUAUAAAGAUAGAAAAGUUACAAUAAGACUAAUAGCAAGCAUCUCCAAUAUUUAAUAAAAGAAAGCCAACUGGACCUUCUUUUCCAGAUAGAACUAUGAUCUCGAACUCCAUGCAGAUAACUGGGUCUAUACUUGAAAAUUUUACUUUCUUCCAAAGUCAUAGCUAUCUUACCAAAAAUUAAUUAUGGAUAAUAAUUACUCCUAAACAACUCCAACAAUAUAAAUGAUUCGAGGAAUAAAACUGGCCUUAAUCAGAACCAUUGGGAAAUUCGAUACGUUAAUAAUGGAGGCCCAAUAUAUGGUUAUGAGCAUGAAAUAAAAUAAUUUUCCUACAAUAACAUACUUCAAGAUCCCAUGACAGGAGCAUAAACACUUGUAUAGAUAUGCCACAAUCAAAAGAGCUAGCAUUGGAACAAAUUGAGUUAUUAACAUCCAAAAUUAAGAGACCUUGUUGACUCCUAGUGUUCUUGAAGGAUUAUUUUUCUAGGAUAAUUGCCCAAGCUCAAUAACAAUUUUCCUAGGAAAAAAAAAAAUCAAAUGCAAGUGUGUGCAUAUCCAACAUAGAAACUCAGGCAACAAAGAUUAAUCAUCACCAUUUUUUGUUCCAACAUUUAUUUCAAAAAAAAAAAAAAUGUAAGAACAAAUCAACAGAUCAUAUAUAAAAAAACAGAAAUGAUAUACUUUGAGAAUUUCUGAUAAGUGCAUUUUGUGCACUUAUAUAGACUGUAUUACUAAGUUUUUUAUGUCAUGAAAGUGUUGAUUGUUACUUAACUUGGGUAAUUUUCCGUUUAUUUCAGUGAUAGACCGAUUUCUAAGGAAUUCGAAAAGAAAAAGGGGAAAAUCCAAAGUAUAAGGACUAAAUUGUAACAUUUCAAUAGUUGAUUCGGAUCACAAAAUGAAGAUUAAAGAUGUUUUAGGUUCAACUGGAUGCAAUUAAAAGUGAAAGGGUUGAAAACGCAAGAGAACGGACUUGAAAGAAUCAAGAAUCGACUUCGGGGGCUAAAAUGUAACAUUCGGGAGUUUUUUUAUAACUGAGCGACAUCCCAGUUAUAAAUUCAAAAUUUAAUUACCGAGGCAAAAAUCCAUGCAUGGGUGACUGCCCGGGUUUUGCACCUAGGUCAAUCGCGGUGAGAAAAAUCUGGUUUCCUUUUCUGAUUGAAAUUCUUAUGAAAACAAAUUUUGGAAAGUCUUUUAAAGCUCUAGGGACUUCAAAAAACAUACACCACGCAUUAUAACACAUUCAUAAGGGUUUUUAGAGAGGAGAACAAGGCAAAAACGAGGAGAUUGACAUCAAGAUGCAAGGAUUCAAUUCAAGAUUUAAAGUGGUGAUGUUUUUCUUCAUUAUUUAAUUUGCUUUCUUCUUCCCACCAUGUUAGGCUAGAUUUUUAUAUGCUAGGAGAUGAUGAACUUUGUAAUGUGAUUCUUAAUUCCUUGUUUCAUAUUUUUGACAUUAAAACACGUUUGAUUAUUUUGAAUGGUUUAUAUGCAUUUAAUUUCUUCCAUAAUUAUUGGGCCUGUAAUUGUGUGUGGUAAUCUAUUUCUUGCAUUCGAGAGAAGGGGAAUAGGUUCGACAAUGCAAUUGUAGGGUCCGAUAGGGGAUAGGGAUAUACCGCUAUGCUCUGCGUAAAUCUUUAAGUGCACACAAAACUACAUGUAUUCUUGUAUAUUUGCACCUGUCAUGGAGAUAUAGGCCGGUGAUAUAUGAGAGUGGGUUCAAUUUUGCUCGAGAGAGAUUGUUGGAAAGAUAUAGGGACAUUGAUUCUUCAUAAUUUCAACGUGUUGUCAAAUUAUAGAACUAAGGUUAAAUUGAGCAUUGCUUGGGGAUUCGUGAUCCUAGUCCACUUUACAUUCAUUAAUUACAUCAAUCUUGCAUUUAAAAUGAAACUUUGCAUUUUAAAUCAUUAAAUUCACAUGCAAUAGCACAUUUAAUUUAGGUUAGGAUUAAUCAAGUCACAUUGAUCUUGUUAGAUAAUUUGGUUUUCGGUUAAGGGUGAGAUAUAUAAAAUUAAGUUACUCUAUCUCUGUGGGACGACAUUCGGACUCUAAAAUUCACUUUAUUACUUGUUACGAACCGUACACUUGCGGAUCAAAUCAAAAGAAUAAUUUCGUGAACAAGUUUUUGGCGCCGCUACCGGGGAUUGAGUAUUAGUUUGAUUUUAUUUUUUAGGCUCUAAUUAGAACUUUAAUUUUUAAUUUUUGUUUUUAUUUUCCAAAAUUUUUUUAGCCUAUUUUAUUUUAUUCUCUUUAGAUAUUCAAUUGUUUGAAUCUGAGUACUGCUACAGGUUUUCUCGCAGAGUUGCAUGCUAAGAUCGAAUGAUCCUGAAAUUAAGUGCACCUUUCAUCAACCACAAAGAUAGGCUAGAGAGGCAUAGUUACAAAUGGCUAAUGAACCGAACAACCCUAUUGUCCCAGCCAAUGAAGGAGAGGCGGUAGACGAAGAAAAUGAGAUUUUGGGAGAUUUCUUGACUCCUCAAGUAAUUCAAAGCCAAUCCAGCAUAGUGUAUCCACCGUUUGGGCAACCUAAUUUUCAAUUGAAGACUAAUGUGAUACAGCUGCUCCAGAAUGGACACCAAUUUUAUGGAAGAGCCGAAGAAAAUCCAAAUACAUACAUAUUUCGAUUCUUGGAUAUGUGUCAACACUUCAGGUAUCAAGAAAUUUCGGAUGAUGCUAUUAGGCUAAGGUUAUUUCCACAUAUACUAUGGAAUAGGGCACUUGAAUGGUUGCAUUCACUUUCUCUUACAAGCAUUAGUGCUUGGAACGAGUUGGCUCAUAAAUUCUGCACGAAGUUCUUCUCGCCAGCCAAGAUAGCAAAACUGAGACUUGAUAUAUCAACAUUCAUUAAAGGAGAAUCUGAAUCAUUUGAGGAAGCCUAGAAUAGAUUUAAAAACAUACUCCAGAAGUGCCCUCAACAUGGGUUUGACAAAAAGACCUAAAUUCGAUUCCUCUAUAUAGGGUUAUUUCCGUACCACAAAAGCAUGAUGGAUUCAGCAUCAAAUGGCUCAAUACCCACACGAACAGUUGAUGGGGCAUUGGAAUUAUUCUAGAGAGUGGCUACCACUUCAGCCAUGUGGUCUUCUGAGAGGGUGAUCCUAAGGAAGACUCUGGGGGUCCACGAGAUAGAUACUUAUUCGGAUAUAUCUACAAAGAUCGACUACCUGUAUCACAAGGUGGAAAGCAUAUCACAGGCAGCACAAGUUAAGAAGCGCAACUGUGAGGAAUGUGGAGCUGAGCAUAAAACUACAGAAUGCCCAAUCUUAAUGCAAGAAAUUGAGCGGGUAGACUAUGCACAGUGGGGACAAUGCCAACAGAACAAUUUGUAUGGGAAAACAUACAAUCCCAAUUGGAAGAAGCAUCCCAAUUUCUCUUGGAGCAACCAGAAUCAGAAUAUGCCAUAGGGACAGUUUCAAUAGCAAGAGAAGAGGCCUCAAUUGGAAGAGAUAUUAGGGAAAUUCAUGGAAAAAGCCGAAGCCACUCUUCAAAACUAAAAUGCCACCAUCAAAAAUUUGGAGACUCUGUUGGGACAGCUAGCCAUUGCAUUGACUGGUAGAGCACCGGGUAAUUUGCCAAGUAACACAGAAAUUAUCCCCAAGGAGCACGCUAAGGUAAUUACAACUCGAAGUGGGGUACAACUACCUAAAAUACAUGUCAAAAGGCCGGUGGUGUAUAAGAAUAGGUUCAAUACAUCUCGAGAGAGAGUUUUGGAUAGAUUUAAGAGCAUUGAUUCGUCAAAAUUCAACGCGUUGUCAUUUUGUGAAACUAGGGUUUAGGGUGAUCAUUGCAUGGAGAUUUGCAUCCUAGUGCGUUUAUUUUUCAUUGAACACAACCAAUUUGCGUUCUAAACCCACUAGGUGCCUAAGUGCAUAUAAGUCUUUUUGUUAAUAGCCAGUGGAAAAAUCAUUUUGAGUACUUUCUUUCUUUUGAUAAAAAUUAAAUUUGAAUAAAAAAUUUAUUCUUCUCUAAGAGCUUACUUUUAGAUGAAGUGGUUCAUAUAGUACAAGCAAGGGUCCUAAUUUCAAAACAAAAUGGCACAUUUUUUUAAAUUGUGCUCGUCUUGGGCCUCAGAUGAGAAAUUAAUUCUUCAUGCACUUGAGGGGGCAUGUUGAAUAAGUAAAUAUAUACAUUCUCCAAUGACUUAUGCUUUUAGAUAUAUUGGUUCCACAUCUUUUUUUAUGGGUAUAUUAAUACCAAAUUAAUUGCACUUAUAGCUGGGUAUUAUUAAAAUGAUAUCAACAUGUAGCUAAAGAUUUACCUCGAGUCCUAACUAAGUUCAAAUGCUCACCAGUCACCACUAUAGCUUACUACAAAACAAUGAUUUUCAUUGAUCAAGCCAUCCCAUGUACAAUCAUAGUUUCUCCAACAUAAUAAUAUAUGUCCAUCAAACCAUCACAUAUGGCUCAAUUUACUUCAAUACGAUAUUAUAAUUUUCGGCAACAAUCUUCUUUUGCACACAAUAGAAUGUUAUAAUGCAAUUCAAUUCCACAUAAUAACAUUCCUCUUCCCCCCCCACCCCUCCCCCAAAAAGUAGCGUUAAUGAGCUACAAUGUCACAUGGCAAGUUAUCGAGGAUGUCUCAAAUGUCUAUAUGUGGAGAUAUAAAUAAGCUCAAUUUGAUGCACGAUAAGAUUUUUAGAAAAUGAUGCACCACAAUAACAAAGCAUGCAAUGUUAUCAUAGAUCACAGAAGUGGUGAGAACAUGGUACCUAAAGCAUUAGUUAAAGGGAGCGAAAAAUAUAAUAAGGAGGUAUGUAAAAUUCUACUUUUUAUUGAAAAAUAAUUAAAGAUGAGAUUGUAAAUGUGAUAAAAAUGAAUGGUUGUCACGAACAUCGGCAAAAUCAUGAUACUGUGAUGUAGAUGCUACAUACAUAGCCAAAGAUAACAAUUAUGUGUUUGGUAGUGGUCCAAUAAGAAGAUUAUUUGUUGCCACUUAAGAAACUAUUUGCCAAUAUCACUCUAAACACAGACAGAGCAAACAAUUUACUCAGCGGAUGACACGAUUGAAAAAGACGUUCCAAAUGACUUAGAUAUUACCAACCUUGAUAAUGCAGUAGAGGUAGAAACGUAAGUGUAAUAAGAAAACUAGAAACUUGCAAAAAGUUUUAUUUAUUGUCCCCUAUUUAGAAAGUGAACCAACAAAAGUUAUUAACGCAUUUUUAAAAAUGAGAGACUAUAAAACCUAGAAAUUGAAGCAGCAAGGGAACAAGAAUCAAUCCACUUUCCUCUCAGACACCAUACCCACAUCACAUUUCACACAAUUAGUAAAUGAAUAAAAUCCAUAAGUUAUUUACUUCCAAAGUUUUCUAAGGGAAUGUCUUAUAAUUUGUUUGGAUCUCAACCAUUGUGGCCCGAACCCAUACUUCCCACUGGCCACCCUACUUUUCAUAGGUAAGAUUGUUCCCAGGGAAAUCUCCAGAGCUAUUUCCCUUCCUUACAGUUCCAAAGAUUUUUUUGUCCUGAACCAUCUCUACUUUUACUUAAUGUUAUCAAAUCUCAAGCUACCAACAACCUCCUUGCUAAAAGCCUCAUAUUUUUUCCCAAAAUGGCAACAUUACUAUAUGGUAUCCUAAACAGUGUCAAGCAUCACAAAAAGACAUGUGAAAUAAAGAAAAUGGGGUAUAUGUAAGUUUUAUAUCCCAUCUUUAGUAACUCCACAAAAUCAUACAUGAGAAGAUUAAUAGGCUUACUUUGGACUUCCAUUAUAUUGUUCCAAUUUAUCUAAUCAUUAGUGAAGAAUCAAUGCCAAAUAUUUACCAAGCAUGAUCUUGGACCAUAUAAAAUAUGUAAAUUGUUUAAAGAUUUUCAGUUACAACAUUCGAUAAACAAAUGUUUAGUUUAUAUGUUGUUAGAUAGACCUUUAGCUAAAUGACAAAAUCAACACACACACAAGUAUAGUGCAGUAGAAGGAAUCAUGUAGUAGGAUAUCUCAUCCAACAUAUCUGAAUCUUGAGUCCACCGUACUUUACUGCCAGUUAUAAAUUUGCUGGAUGAAAUGCUAGCUUUUAGGAAUAUGUAACAGGAACAUGACUCAAGAAUCAUAACAUCUACAUGGCAAUGACCCAAGGGAUGCAUGAAAUUUUCAGAAAUUAGCAGCAGAUAAUCAUUUUAUAGGAUAUCAUGUCCGGACUUAGCAUAAAGCAUAAUAAAAUCUGAGCUCUCAUGUGAUUGUCAAGUGAUGAAAUCAACUUGGUUAUCAGCCCAUUGUGUGCGGUAGUCCUCAAAGAUAUUUCAUUUGCAAAGCAAAGAAUUUGAAAGCUGAACAUAAUGAAAGUCUUCCUUGGAGGCAUAGACUAGUGAGAGUACAAUAACUUAAAAUUCUCUACAUGUCAUUAACAUAAGCAUAGGGAUCAAAUUGCUCAAUAACCAUAGUUUAAGGACCAAUUUAUAUAGAGACUAAGGUUCGGGGACAAAUUACACAUCAAUUAUAAUUUAGGGAUCGUAUUGCAUAUCUGUGAAAGUUUAGAGUCAAGUUUUAUACCCGUCCAUAGUUGAGGGACUAUAGCAUAUAUAUGUAGCAUCCAUGUACAUGGUAAGAAAUAAUUAUGUUUUUAUUAUGGUAAGGAAUAAAUGCAAAUUUAGGUAAUUACCAUAUAUAAUAUGUACGUAUAUGUUAACUACGAUAAUUAAAAGAAAUAAUUAAGGAAACUUUCCUUUUUAUUUAAUUAUACCAAAAACCGAAAAGGUAAUUACCAUAUAUAUUAUGUACAUAUAUGUUAACUACCAUAAGUGAAUGAUUCAAUUAAGGAGACUUUCCUUUUCUUAUUCAAUCUUACCAAAACGUAUAUGUUAAUUAUCGUAAUUAAAAUGAUUAAUUAAG
rnacentral:lncRNA from 1 species